GACGGAGGAUGCAAGUGUUAUCCGGAAUCACUGGGCGUAAAGCGUCUGUAGGUGGUUUAAAAAGUCUACUGUUAAAGCUUGAAGCUUAACUUCAAAAAUGCCGUAGAAACUUUAAACUUGAGUAUGGUAGGGGUAGAGGGAAUUUCCAGUGGAGCGGUGAAAUGCGUAGAUCUUGGAAAGACCACCAAUGGCGAAGGCACUCUACUGGCCAUAACUGACACUAAGAGACGAAGCUAGGGAGCAAAUGGG
rnacentral:rRNA from 1 species